AGCGAACGCUGGCGGCAGGCCUAACACAUGCAAGUCGAACGAACUCUUCGGAGUUAGUGGCGGACGGGUGAGUAACACGUGGGAACGUGCCUUUUGGUUCGGAAUAACUCAGGGAAACUUGUGCUAAUACCGAAUGUGCCCUUCGGGGGAAAGAUUUAUCGCCAUUAGAGCGGCCCGCGUCUGAUUAGCUAGUUGGUGAGGUAACGGCUCACCAAGGCGACGAUCAGUAGCUGGUCUGAGAGGAUGACCAGCCACACUGGGACUGAGACACGGCCCAGACUCCUACGGGAGGCAGCAGUGGGGAAUCUUGCGCAAUGGGCGAAAGCCUGACGCAGCCAUGCCGCGUGAAUGAUGAAGGUCUUAGGAUUGUAAAAUUAUUUCACCGGGGACGAUAAUGACGGUACCAGGAGAAGAAGCCCCGGCUAACUUCGUG
rnacentral:rRNA from 1 species